AUUGAACGCUGGCGGCAGGCCUAACACAUGCAAGUCGAGCGGAUGAAGGGAGCUUGCUCCUGGAUUCAGCGGCGGACGGGUGAGUAAUGCCUAGGAAUCUGCCUGGUAGUGGGGGAUAACGUCCGGAAACGGGCGCUAAUACCGCAUACGUCCUGAGGGAGAAAGUGGGGGAUCUUCGGACCUCACGCUAUCAGAUGAGCCUAGGUCGGAUUAGCUAGUUGGUGGGGUAAAGGCCUACCAAGGCGACGAUCCGUAACUGGUCUGAGAGGAUGAUCAGUCACACUGGAACUGAGACACGGUCCAGACUCCUACGGGAGGGAGCAGUGGGGAAUAUUGGACAAUGGGCGAAAGCCUGAUCCAGCCAUGCCGCGUGUGUGAAGAAGGUCUUCGGAUUGUAAAGCACGUUAAGUUGGGAGGAAGGGCAGUAAGUUAAUACCUUGCUGUUUUGACGUUACCAACAGAAUAAGCACCGGCUAACUUCGUG
rnacentral:rRNA from 1 species